UACAGAGGGUGCGAGCGUUAAUCGGAAUUACUGGGCGUAAAGAGCUCGUAGGUGGUUUGUCGCGUUGUUCGUGAAAACUCACAGCUCAACUGUGGGCGUGCGGGCGAUACGGGCAGACUGGAGUACUGCAGGGGAGACUGGAAUUCCUGGUGUAGCGGUGGAAUGCGCAGAUAUCAGGAGGAACACCGGUGGCGAAGGCGGGUCUCUGGGCAGUAACUGACGCUGAGGAGCGAAAGCGUGGGGAGCGAACGGG
rnacentral:rRNA from 1 species